rnacentral:ncRNA from 1 species
CCGGUUUCCCUUUGCGGAGGCAGGACAGCGGGUAAAAGGGAAGCGGGUGAAAAUCCCGCGCGAUCUCGUCACUGUAAGCGGGGAGCGUUCCGCCGAUAGGCCACUGAUAUUGCGAUAUCGGGAAGGCGGCGGUGCGCGAUGAGCCGCAAAGCCAGGAAACCUGCCGCUC